AGGCAGACACCGCUGCCUGCGUCUGGCAGGGAGCAGCGGACGGGGUGUUUGGCCCCGAGAGCGUACCUGGUCAGCGGGGGCACGCUGGCUCUUGCUGCGUGGAGCUGAUGCCUGCGGCCGGUAAGGCAAGCGCGAGCCUCCCUGCCACGGCUCGCGCUCCUCGGGGUACGCGCGGGUCCCUGCUGAAGUACUCUCUGCCAGACUUUGAUCCUGCUGAGUCACAGACUCAGGACUCCCAAAUUACGUGGUGUGGCUGAUGGCUGCCUUCAGCCUGCGGUGAGAGGGGCUGUCCUGGGCAAAGGAAGCGGCUCUCGAAGAAAAGCGUGUGCUUGGGAGUCGUUUGUCCCUGUUCAUUGCAGGGGAGCUCUGCCAGCAGCCGUUAGAAGUGACAGAGACCAGAAGAAAAGGGUUGCAAGACGCAUAGCGAAUACAUCUCUAAGGGGGAGGAAUGCCUGUAAGGAGACUGUUCAGCAUGAGGUGACUUCCCAUCUUCCGCUUUGGCGGUGCCCGACAGAGAUCACUUCCAAGCAGUUCCUAGCACUAAAACGUCUCGCCCAUCUGUGGGCAGGGUGCAGCAGCGCAUCAGGUGGAGGAGAAUGAAGGGACAUGGGUGCCGGUCUGUCCUGUGAUGUGAAUUUAAUUGGGAAAUUAAACUGGAGCUACGGAAGUGGU